GUUGCACUCUGUAGAUGUGUCCAGGGUAGAAUCCAGGCUGGAUUCUGUUCUGGCCCGGAGGCUCAGUGUGAUGUGUUUCCUUCCAGGCUACCGAGGUCAGAAAGGAGAGAGGGGUCAGCUUGGCUUGGGGAUACCAGGGGCCCCUGGUCCGGCAGGUACACCAGGUGAACCAGGAAUUGGCAUCCAGGGGCCUGCGGGCCCUCCAGGUUCCCCGGGGCCACGGGGCAAGUGUGACCCCAGGGAUUGUCUCCAACCGACCGCUCCAUCCCGAAAGAACGGUUAGGGGAGCCCGUCAUAGGAUAAGGGCCGCCUCAGAGGGCAAGUGCCCAGGGAGGGCCAGGGGCCCCUCUCCCAUCCAGUCUCCAUCUCCUCUACGUCAGUCAACCACAGGCACAGGAGCCCAGCUCUGGAGCCCGAUCAAUCCGUUCAUUUCCGAAGGACAGUACGGUCCUGGCAGUCUGUUACUACAGCUCACCUCUGUUUUUGCUUCACAAAGGAAACCAUAGAGGCACAUACUGUUUCUAUCACAACGCUCCUCCGACAGUGGCAAGCUGACUCCUGUACAGUGGCUCGGUUUUGUAAUGCCCCCCCACCCCACACCCCCCCAUUCACCAAUGAUAGUUAACGAUAAAGUUGGUGGAGGGGAAACGGAUCCUAAACAUUUACCUGGGGGAGUCUUUACCCCAGAGUGCUCACAACUGCCUGUUGGGUUUUUUCCAUUACAGCAGAAGCAGUGAAAUUCAAUUAUUUUGUUGCUCUACACUGACGGCUUAUUUCAAAUGUGACCCAAACCAUUAUUAUAAUUGUGGCUAUGAUGAUCUGAAGUGCUGUUUAAUUUAUUUCUUGUUUUCUCUCAAUCCCUGCUGUGACCUGAUGCAUUCCAUAUUAUUUCACAUUCAGUCUUUUGAGACCGUAAAAAGAAGCCGUUUCUCUCUAAUACUGUCGAGGGAACAAUCUCUUAAUGAUUUCAUGAUGCUUGUUUGUUGGGGAAAGCUAUGCACACGUUCAGUCUCAGACGUUUUAAUUAUGAAUUGACAGGCAGUUCAACCUUAGUUGGCUGUUUAGAAAGAAAACAUCUACUUAUUUUUACCUGAUGUGAGUACACUGUAUAUGUAUUAUACAUUAUACAUAUAUAUGUAUGAGUACACUGUAUAUGUAUUAUACAUUAUAUAUGUAUGAGUACACUGUAUAUGUAUUAUACAUUAUAUAUGUAUGAGUACACUGUAUAUGUAUUAUACAUUAUAUAUGUACGAGUACACUGUAUAUGUAUUAUACAUUAUAUAUGUAUGAGUACACUGUAUAUAUGUUAUACAUUAUAUAUGUAUGAGUACACUGUAUAUGCAUUAUACAAUAUUUAUGU
rnacentral:lncRNA from 1 species